AGCAGCCGCGGUAAUUCCAGCUCCAAUAGCGUAUAUUAAAGUUGUUGCAGUUAAAAAGCUCGUAGUUGAAUUUCGGGAUCAAUAUAUCGGUCGUGCCGUUGGUACGUACUGGUAUCAUUGGUUUCUCCUUUCUGACGAACCAUGAUGUCAUUAAUUUGGUGUUAUGGGAAGUUAGGACUGUUACUUUGAAAAAAUUAGAGUGUUUAAAGCAGGCUUUAGCUUGAAUACAUUAGCAUGGAAUAAUGAAAUAGGACGUUCGAACCUAUUUUGUUGGUUUCUAGGAUCAACGUAAUGAUUAAUAGGGAUAGUUGGGGGCAUUAGUAUUCAAUUGUCAGAGGUGAAAUUCUUGGAUUUAUUGAAGACUAACUACUGCGAAAGCAUUUGCCAAGGAUGUUUUCAUUAAUCAAGAACGAAAGUUAGGGGAUCGAAGACGAUCAGAUACCGUCGUAGUCUUAACCAUAAACUAUGCCGACUAGGGAUCGGAUGAUGUUAAUUUUUUAAUGACUCAUUCGGCGCCUUACGG
rnacentral:rRNA from 1 species